ACAACUUAACGCGACGUAAACAAACCGCGCACGUGCACCAUAGUUCCGGAUCUUAACGGUUGUUUCGGUGCGGGCGGAGGAGACACGCUUAGCAUGGUGAAGUGUUCCGUCUCUGGGUGUCCGAGCAGCAUGGUGACCGGUAACCGGGGGUCUUUAAUCGACCACGGAAGAGGUUCUUCAACUUCUCCAGAAACCCGGCUCGGGUCAAGGUACGGACUAACACAACUAACCCGGGCUAAAAUGAAUGUAACCCGGAUGUUUUCUUCUCUUUCUACCGUAGCGAUGCUAACCACCACUGGUUGUCGGCGUGUGUUAGCCUAGCAUCGGUCCCACAGUCCCGGAUGUUUCCCUUAGAAAAGUGUGAGCGGCGCGUUAAUGGAGGUUAGUUAAAGAGCUUACGACACGCUGUCCGUUCGUGUUAGUGGGCCUAUGAUGGAGGUUGCAUUUUAUUGUGAAAUGUGCCACAUAUAUAUCUUUUAUUACUGAUGUAUUUUUAAUAAAUCACGAUUUUAACCGCAUAAAAAAGUUGUCUGCUAUCAACAGUCGGUCGCCGCGCCGGAAACAGCCUCUUCGGUGAUGUCCGAUGAUGACGUCAUGAAUGGAACACAGCCGCCAUUGUUUGUCUGCGUUGAAGCGUCCAGCAAAGACUGCUGUCAUUUAUUAUGAUAAAGAAUGGACAACAAUAGAUCGCCAAGAAUAAUUGGCAAGCGAUGUGUUGUGUGGGGAUGUGGGGCCGUCUCCAAAUCUGGCUAUGGGAUGUUUCUGUGGCCAAAAGAUGAUCAAAUAUCGCGUUUAUGGACAAGACAAGUGCGUCGAACGAGAGCACACUUUGCUGGACCAGGAAAACCGGGGUCGAUGAAGCCGACGAUUUGUGGGCAGCACUUUGAGAGGUCGUGUUUCGAACAAUCCACUAUGCUCGCCAAGGAAAUGGGAUUCAAGAAGAACUUUAAACUGAACGCAGAUGCUGUGCCGACAAUACUGCCGAGACCCCCGCCGAGUCCUCCCCCAAAGAGAAGACGCAAUGCAUUCCCCAAAAGGGAGCGAGCGAAGGUGUGGCUGACAGCGCUGAGGGAGCAGCAGCAGGACGCCACAGAGCAGCAGUUCGCCUGUGAAGACCACUUCCUGCCAGAGGACAUCUCCACCAACAGGGUCAACGGGGACGCCAGUCCCAUCGUGCCCCUCUACCUGGACGGGCUGCUGGGCCCGGUCAGCCCCCGGGGAGCCGAGUCCUCCAAGGAAGAGGAAGAAGAAGAAAGUGGAGGUGAUGCUCCUCCUGCAGCAGAUCCACCACAGCAGAAUCCAGGUGGAGGUUUGGAGAAUCUUCCAGAGGCCGAGCGGACCAGAUGUGAUGUUGCAGCAGGUUUUGUGUCCCUCCCCAGUGCUUCGCUGCGACAGAGGAAACGACCGAACACCCGAAGACGAGGUGAGCGUGGACGAGGACGUGUUCUUCAGCGGCAAAAAGAGUCUCUGGGGCGGCUGACUCAGCGCUUCCUGGAGCUGCUGCUGGCGACUCCGGACGGCGCUCUGGACCUCAGGGACGUGGCGGUGAGCCUGCAGACGCAAAAGCGGCGAGUGUACGAAAUCACACACGUCCUGAGCAGCCUCAACCUCCUUCAGAAGGAUUCCACCAACUGGGUCAAGUGGAUAGGGAAGAGUCCCAUCUCCAGCUUCCUAUGCAACAACCAGCGGACGCUCCGGGGCGAGCUGGACGCCCUGAAGCGGAUGGAGGCGGCGCUGGACGGCCUCAUCACGCGUUGCGCCCGGCAGCUCUUCCACAUGACGGACAACGUGGAGAACGCUUCGUCGGCCUACGUGACCCACGAGGACAUCAGGCGCCUCCGGGACGUCCAGCAGCAGACACUGAUCAUCGUCAAAGCUCCGGAGGAAACGCAGCUGGAGAUUCCUGAACCGCAAGAGGACAUUAUCCAGGUCCAUCUGAAGGCGGGGGAGGCCAUCUCGGUGCUGACCUGUGAGAUGGGUUCUGAGCCCGGCUUCUUUUUAACCCUGGAGGAGAGCCGGGUCAGGACGACUGCGCUGCACAGCGAGGCUUCAUGUCCACAUGGUGGCGUGCAGAGAACGUAGCAGCCAGCAGGAGGCGCCAACACAAACCUGGAAUGGAAACAUCGAGGGGCGUCUGCAGGUUGCUGGUUUAAAUCCCUGAAUGUGAUGCAGAGAUGAGAACAUGAGAAAUGCAGACACGAUUAUCUUGUAUGAAGUAGCAAUAAUAAUAAUAAUCAUAAUAAUAAUAACUAUUAAUGUGCUUAUAAAUGGGAAGUGCUUCUGUCAAAUGUUUCAAUUUCCAAUAAUUUCCCAUAAAAUAAACUUUUUGCACUUUUAUUCUAGGGAAUUAGAAUGUAAACACAUUAUUAUCUUUAUUGUUGUUUGUAAAAAGUGAUCUUUGUCUACAUAAAAUGUGAUUUACAGUAUAUUAAUAAAAAGAGUAUACAGAUUAAUUUACUGGCUUUCAGUUCUUUCAAGGAAAAUAUUAUUAAUAAUGAUAAAUAAAUAUGCAAUGUAAUAGAACUAUCUGGGUACAUUUGUGUUGAACCUUUUAACAACUCUUUUUUAAUUUAUUUUUAAAGUGUUAAGACAGAGGGGAAACGUAAUAUCUUGAAAAUAUUCUUAGUUUCGUUUAUUUUUUCCUCAGUAUUUGUGUUGCUGCCACGUUUACAUUUUGAAUACAUUUUCUAGUAAAGAUGUCUGUUUUUAAUAAAUACACAAACUGUU